GAGGGUGCAAGCGUUAUCCGGAAUCACUGGGUUUAAAGGGUGCGUAGGCGGUUUUAUAAGUCAGAGGUGAAAGCAUGCAGCUUAACUGUAUAAUUGCCUUUGAUACUGUAAGACUUGAAUAAGGUUGAGGUUGGCGGAAUGUGACAUGUAGCGGUGAAAUGCUUAGAUAUGUCAUAGAACACCGAUUGCGAAGGCAGCUGACUGGGCCUUUAUUGACGCUGAGGCACGAAAGCGUGGGGAGCGAACAGGAUUAGAUACCCUGGUAGUCCACGCCCUAAACGAUGUAUACUCGUUGUUUGCAUCUAGAAUGUGAGCAACCAAGCGAAAGCGUUAAGUAUACCACCUGGGGAGUACGCCCGCAAGGGUG
rnacentral:rRNA from 1 species